GAUCAACGCUGGCGGCGUGCAUGAGACAUGCAAGUCGAACGAAGGAUCGGGCUUGCUCGAUCCUUAGUGGCGGACGGCUGAGUAACGCGUAGGUGACCUACCCCGAAGUGUGGAAUAACUGCCCGAAAGGGUGGCUAAUACCGCAUGUGGUCGCACGUUCAUUCGUGCGAGUAAAGCCGCAAGGCGCUUCGGGAGGGGCCUGCGUCCGAUUAGCUCGUUGGUGGGGUAAUGGCUUACCAAGGCGACGAUCGGUAGGUGGUCUGAGAGGACGAUCACCCAGACUGGGACUGAGACACGGCCCAGACUCCUACGGGAGGCAGCAGUCGGGAAUUUUGCUCAAUGGGGGAAACCCUGAAGCAGCAACGCCGCGUGAGGGAUGAAGGCCUUCGGGUUGUAAACCUCUUUUGUCAGGGACGAUGAUGACGGUACCUGGCGAAUAAGCCACGGCUAACUACGUG
rnacentral:rRNA from 1 species